AUGACUAAAGACACUUGCUUAAAAGGGGGAUUGACAAAACUUCGGGAUGCCUAUUCUGACCAGGAAACAGUAGACCACUUGUUUUUUGGUUGUGUAGUAGCAAAAAACAUCUGGACUGAGGUCUCCUCCUUUCUUUCUGUUGAUUUAGGGUCUAGCUAUCUCUCUAUUGCCAAAUUUUGGCCUGCUAAUAAAAAACAUGAAGUACUAAAUGCCUUUUGCGCCUGUCUACUGUGGUGCCUUUGGAAAGUUAGGAAUAAUCAUGUUUUUGAUAAUGCUAUUUGGUCUGAUAUUAAACAGAUCUGGUGGCUGGUCUGGAGGACACUCAAGAGGUGGAUGGUUCUAUACUCAAAGGAUUCGCAGGAGAAAAUGCAGAGAAUACUGCACUGGAUAUCCUGCAUCCUCAAAGCCCCUUUGUAG
rnacentral:rRNA from 1 species